UAACGGCGAGUGAAGCGGGAAGAGCUCAAAUUUGAAAUCUAGUAGCCUUCGGCUGCUCGAGUUGUAAUCUAUAGAAAUGUUUUCCGUGCUGGCUCAUGUACAAGUCCCUUGGAACAGGGCGUCAUAGAGGGUGAGAAUCCCGUACUUGACAUGAAUUACCAGUGCUCUGUGAUACAUUUUCAAAGAGUCGAGUUGUUUGGGAAUGCAGCUCAAAAUGGGUGGUAAAUUCCAUCUAAAGCUAAAUAUUGGCGAGAGACCGAUAGCGAACAAGUACCGUGAGGGAAAGAUGAAAAGCACUUUGGAAAGAGAGUUAAACAGUAUGUGAAAUUGUUAAAAGGGAAACGAUUGAAGUCAAUCAUGUCCUUGGGUCUUACCACCCUUGGAUGGGGUCAACAUCAGUUUUGAUCGGUGGAUAAGGAUAGGAGGAAGGUAGCACUCUCGGGUGAACUUAUAGCCUCCUGUCGCAUACACUGGUUGAGACUGA
rnacentral:rRNA from 1 species